rnacentral:rRNA from 1 species
UACGUAGGGGGCGAGCGUUGUCCGGAUUUAUUGGGCGUAAAGAGCUCGUAGGCGGUCUGUUGCGUCUGCCGUGAAAACCCGAGGCUUAACCUCGGGCCUGCGGUGGAUACGGGCAGACUAGAGGUAGGCAGGGGAGAACGGAAUUCCCGGUGUAGCGGUGAAAUGCGCAGAUAUCGGGAGGAACACCGGUGGCGAAGGCGGUUCUCUGGGCCUUACCUGACGCUGAGGAGCGAAAGCGUGGGGAGCGAACAGG